AUUGAACGCUGGCGGCAUGCCUUACACAUGCAAGUCGAACGGCAGCACGGGAGCAAUCCUGGUGGCGAGUGGCGAACGGGUGAGUAAUAUAUCGGAACGUGCCCAGUCGUGGGGGAUCACGUAGCGAAAGCUACGCUAAUACCGCAUACGAUCUAUGGAUGAAAGCGGGGGAUCGCAAGACCUCGCGCGAUUGGUGCGGCCGAUAUCAGAUUAGGUAGUUGGUGGGGUAAAGGCUCACCAAGCCGACGAUCUGUAGCUGGUCUGAGAGGACGACCAGCCACACUGGGACUGAGACACGGCCCAGACUCCUACGGGAGGCAGCAGUGGGGAAUUUUGGACAAUGGGCGCAAGCCUGAUCCAGCAAUGCCGCGUGCAGGAUGAAGGCCUUCGGGUUGUAAACUGCUUUUGUACGGAGCGAAAAGGCUUCCACUAAUACUGGGGGCUCAUGACGGUACCGUAAGAAUAAGCACCGGCUAACUACGUGCCAGCCGCCGCAGUAAAAC
rnacentral:rRNA from 1 species